UCGAACGGAGCACCGGACACGGACUAUUUCGGUAGGAAGCGUGCGGAGGCUUAGUGGCGGACGGGUGAGUGACGCGUGGAUAACCUGCCGCAUACCGGGGGAUAACAGCUGGAAACAGCUGCUAAUACCGCAUAUGCCCGCAGUGCCGCAUGGCACAGCGGGGAAAACUCCGGUGGUAUGCGAUGGGUCCGCGUCUGAUUAGGCAGUUGGCGGGGUAACGGCCCACCAAACCGACGAUCAGUAGCCGGCCUGAGAGGGCGGACGGCCACACUGGGGCUGAGACACGGCCCAGACUCCUGCGGGAGGCAGCAGUGGGGAAUAUUGCACAAUGGGGGAAACCCUGAUGCAGCGACGCCGCGUGAAGGAAGAAGUAUCUCGGUAUGUAAACUUCUAUCAGCAGGGAAGAAAACAGACGGUACCUGACUAAGAAGCCCCGGCUAACUACGUGCCAGCAGCCGCGGUAAUACGUAGGGGGCAAGCGUUAUCCGGAUUUACUGGGUGUAAAGGGGGCGC
rnacentral:rRNA from 1 species